GCCGAAGAUGCGGACGAGCAAGGGCAGCACUUUGAAGGACCCUUCAAUCCCGUGAGCCCUCUGGAGAGUUGGGUAGGAUGUGAGCCAUGCAUGCCCAGGGUACCCAAACCUGGGCCACAGAGCCGAUCUCUCCCCAGUGCUGAGAAGCCAUACAAGGCCAAGUCCGGAAGGGAGCUAGACAGAUACAAGGAAUGAUGGGUGAUGUCAGACAGCCCGGCUGGCACCUCAGCCAAGAUGGGUUGGAGAGAUGGCUCAACACUGACUACUCUUCCAGAGAACCUGGGUUCAAUUCCCAGCACCCACAUGAAAGCUACCAACUGUCUGUAACUCCAAGAUCUGACGCUCUCACACAGGCAUACAUGCUGGAGAGAUGGCUCGGAGGUUAAGAGCACUGACUGCUCUUCCAGAGGUCCUGAGUUCAAUUCCCAGCAACCACAUGGUGGCUCACAACCAUCUGUUAUGAGAUCUGGUGCCCUCUUCUUGUGUGCAGAUAUACAUGGAAGCAGAAUGUUGUAUACAUAAUAAGUAAAUAAAAAAAUAAUGUUUAAAAAAAUAUCUUUCAUUU
rnacentral:lncRNA from 1 species